GCACUGCUGAGGAGUCCCAUAAUAAUAGGACGAAACCGCUGUCCAGUGC
rfam:Schistosoma rodhaini strain Burundi genome assembly, scaffold: SROB_scaffold0000137